rnacentral:rRNA from 1 species
AUUGAACGCUGGCGGCAGGCUUAACACAUGCGAGUCGAGCGGGGUUUUCGGACCUAGCGGCGGACGGGUGAGUAAUGCGUAGGAAGCUACCCGAUAGAGGGGGAUACCAGUUGGAAACGACUGUUAAUACCGCAUAAUGUCUACGGACCAAAGUGAGGGACCUUCGGGCCACAUGCUAUCGGAUGCGCCUACGUGGGAUUAGCUAGUUGGUGAGGUAAUGGCUCACCAAGGCGACGAUCCCUAGCUGGUUUGAGAGGAUGAUCAGCCACACUGGAACUGAGACACGGUCCAGACUCCUACGGGAGGCAGCAGUGGGGAAUAUUGGACAAUGGGCGCAAGCCUGAUCCAGCCAUGCCGCGUGUGUGAAGAAGGCCUUCGGGUUGUAAAGCGCUUUCAGUAGGGAGGAAGCGUUGUGUGUUAAUAGUACACAGCGUUGACGUUACCUACAGAAGAAGCACCGGCUAACUCUGUGCCAGCCGCCGCAGUAACAC